rnacentral:rRNA from 1 species
GACGAACGCUGGCGGCGUGCUUAACACAUGCAAGUCGAACGAUGAAGCCGGAGCUUGCUCUGGCGGAUUAGUGGCGAACGGGUGAGUAACACGUGAGUAACCUGCCCUUGACUCUGGGAUAACUGCGGGAAACUGUAGCUAAUACCGGAUACGACCCUCGGAGGCAUCUCCUGGGGGUGGAAAGAAUUUCGGUCAAGGAUGGACUCGCGGCCUAUCAGCUAGUUGGUGAGGUAAAGGCUCACCAAGGCGACGACGGGUAACCGGCCUGAGAGGGUGACCGGCCACACUGGGACUGAGACACGGCCCAGACUCCUACGGGAGGCAGCAGUGGGGAAUAUUGCACAAUGGGCGCAAGCCUGAUGCAGCAACGCCGCGUGAGGGAUGACGGCCUUCGGGUUGUAAACCUCUUUUAGCAGGGAAGAAGCGAAAGUGACGGUACCUGCAGAAAAAGCACCGGCUAACUACGUGCCAGCAGCCGCGGUAA